rnacentral:rRNA from 1 species
UACGAAGGGGGCUAGCGUUACUCGGAUUUACUGGGCGUAAAGGGCGCGUAGGCGGCUUGUACAGUCAGACGUGAAAUUCCUGGGCUCAACCUGGGGGCUGCGUUUGAUACGGGCGGGCUUGAGUUCGGAAGAGGGUCGUGGAAUUCCCAGUGUAGAGGUGAAAUUCGUAGAUAUUGGGAAGAACACCGGUGGCGAAGGCGGCGACCUGGUCCGAUACUGACGCUGAGGCGCGAAAGCGUGGGGAGCAAACAGG